UACGAAGGGGGCUAGCGUUGCUCGGAAUCACUGGGCGUAAAGCGCACGUAGGCGGCUUUUUAAGUCAGGGGUGAAAUCCUGGAGCUCAACUCCAGAACUGCCUUUGAUACUGGGAAGCUCGAGUCCGGGAGAGGUGAGUGGAACUCCGAGUGUAGAGGUGAAAUUCGUAGAUAUUCGGAAGAACACCAGUGGCGAAGGCUGCUCACUGGCCCGGUACUGACGCUGAGGUGCGAAAGCGUGGGGAGCAAACAGG
rnacentral:rRNA from 1 species